rnacentral:rRNA from 1 species
UACGUAGGGAGCAAGCGUUGUCCGGAAUCAUUGGGCGUAAAGCGCGCGUAGGUGGCCUCAUAAGUCCGCUGUGAAAGUCCAAGGCUCAACCUUGGAAAGCCGGUGGAUACUGUGAGGCUAGAGUACGGAAGAGGCGAGUGGAAUUCCUGGUGUAGCGGUGGAAUGCGCAGAUAUCAGGAGGAACACCAAUAGCGAAGGCAGCUCGCUGGGACGUUACUGACGCUGAGGAGCGAAAGCGUGGGGAGCGAACAGG